rnacentral:snoRNA from 1 species
AGUACUUUGUGUGUGUCUGUUCAACUGGUGGACAAAGGCAUGAUAGAAAGGUACAAAAAUAAAUCCUCUUUUGCAACCCAGAACUCACUGUUCAGUAUGAGUUUUGAUGCAUGCAAGAAGAACUCUG